UACAGAGGUGCCGAGCGUUAGGCGGAAUCACUGGGCGUAAAGGGCGCGUAGGCGGCCUGAUAAGUCGGGGGUGAAAUCCUGUGGCUCAACCACAGGGCUGCCUCCGAGACUGUCGGGCUCGAGCACAGUAGAGGCAGGUGGAAUUCCCGGUGUAGCGGUGGAAUGCGUAGAGAUCGGGAAGAACAUCGGUGGCGAAGGCGGCCUGCUGGGCUGUUGUUGACGCUGAGGCGCGACAGCGUGGGGAGCAAACAGG
rnacentral:rRNA from 1 species